rnacentral:rRNA from 1 species
AGCGGAGGAAAAGAAAUUAACUAAGAUUGCCUUAGUAACGGCGAGUGAAGUGGCAAAAGCCCAAACUGGAAAUCUUCAUGCUUCGCAUGACGAAUUGUAAUCUAAAGAGUAGAAGCUCACCUGUUGAUGUCGCAGAAGUGCCUUAGAACGGGCCGCCAGAGAGGGUGACAGCCCCGUAUGUGGUGACAUUAGCUAACGAGCUCUGCUUGAAGAGUCGGGUAGUUUUGAAUUGCUGCCCUAAGUGGGAGAUAGACUUCUUCUAAGGCUAAAUACAUGUGGGAAACCGAUAGCGAACAAGUACUGUGAAGGAAAGAUGAAAAGAACUUUGAAAAGAGAGUCAAAAGACUUGAAAUCGUUGAGAAGGAAGCGGUAGAAAAUUAUUCUCUGCGGUAGCAAAGUGUUCCACACGAGUAUUGCGGCUGUAUAGUACGUCAAAGGCUUGCAGUUGUACGUGCUUGUUGGAUUGCGGAGCUCACGUAGUGAGGCAAAAUGAGGUGUUAAAUCCACAAAAGCUUCUUGGAUCUGGGACUCUGCGGAGUUCAAUCCUGGUCUGCUGGUGGGCUUAACGCCUGAGGAUGCUCUGUGCGAUUUUGCCAAAAUGGUUUUUACCGACCCGUCUUGAAACACGGACCAAGGAGUCUAACAUAUAUGCGAGUGUGCUGGUGGAGAAACCAACACGCAUAAUGAAAGUAAGAGAUGCCAAGCGCAAGCAGCAGCAUCAACCGAUGAGGUUCCUCUGGUGCCUAUUCGAGUAAGAGCAUAUCUGUUAGGACCCGAAAGAUGGUGAACUAUGCCUGAGUAGGGUGAAGCCAGGGGAAACUCUGGUGGAGGCUCGUAGCGGUUCUGACGUGCAAAUCGAUCGUCAAACUUGGGUAUAGGGGCGAAAGACUAAUCGAACCAUCUAGUAGCUGGUUCCCUCCGAAGUUUCCCUCAGGAUAGCUGGGACAACAACGCAGUUUUAUUAGGUAAAGCGAAUGAUUAGAGGUAUCUGGGGUAUCUUACCCUGGACCUAUUCUCAAACUUUAAAUUGGUAAGAACCUUUGCCUUUCUUAAUUGAGGUGAGGGGGUCAAUGCGUGUCCCUAGUGGGCCAUUUUUGGUAAGCAGAACUGGCGAUGAGGGUUGCUCCUAACGCUGAGUUAAGGUGCCUAAAUGCAUGCUCAUCAGACACUACAAAGGGUGUUGGUUCAUUUAGAC